rnacentral:tRNA from 1 species
UCUAAUGUGACAGAAAAUGUGAUGAAUUUAAGAUUCAUUCAUAAAUAUUAAUAUUUCUUUAGAA